ACCUUAUAUAAAUGUAGUAACGCAAGACAGUUACGCAUUUCCCUGUAAGGUGGUGUUUCAAUAGAAGUAUAAGCGACAAGUCUUAUUGUUAAGCUACGAGUUGAAAUAAGAUGAGCUUAUAUAGAAUAGGUUAACCGUAAGACCUUGAGUUGAAAAACUCUAAAAUUAACCUAGGGAUUGAAUUUUUAAAAUUUCGUAUCUCCUAGUUACGGUCGU
rnacentral:ncRNA from 1 species